GUGGACUGCAAUAAAACCCUUCAAGGAAAUACUGCAUAUAGCAUUGUUCCUACUCUCCUCGAGUGUUUGAAGGACCCCUCAGAAGGAGCAUGCACCGGGAGACAGGAGGGAGGAAGAAGGAAAAAAAAAAAAAAAAACUAAGAAAUAUCAAGGAGACACGGUUAAGCAUGAAUCAUUUCGGUCUCUCGGUUGAACCCGAGGCAAGAUCAGAUUUCACAUCCACCCUCGACGGGGCUGGCAUUUUCACACACGCUGCAAACCCCUUGGCGUGGAGAUCUCUGAUUUUUCACGUCUCCUGCUGUGUUCAUGCUGGCUCAGGCGUGAUGCAUGUGCCAAACCGCAAAGCCUAUGGAGCACAGGUCCUUGCAGAUGAGGAGAGCUUGAGCCUGCGACUUCCCGUGGGCACCGCCGUGGGAGGAGGACUGUUGCACUUCUCCACCGCAUCGACACGUGCUCUGUGUUUGCUGCAGCCCGGAGUACCAGGCUGUUGAGAAAUAUUCGAUCCCAAAUGUAUACAGUGAUGGUUCUUAGACUGCCCUGGCGUAAAGAAUCCACCUGGUUGAGUACAGUGACCUUGCUUCCUCCGAAAUAAAGAAUUUGAAAAGCAGUGACUCAUUUCCAUGAACGUCUUUCCUGAUUAAUACUGAGGUUUUUAUUCUAUUCCUGUAUUUCUAGAAUGGUGGCAAUAUUUAUAGUGGGAACGCAAUUAUGCCUUAGAAAGCAUGUUAAUGCAUAUUAAAGACUUGAGUGUUACCCGAGACAUAAAGGGGUUGUAAAAUCUGCCAGUAGGGCAGACUGAAAGCCCCGGUCUCUCAGAUGAAACAUGUGCUAAAAAGUUCAGAACUACUGUGUGAAGAGCCGUCAUUAUCAGACAAUAUGUGAAAAACAUCGUUUCCCUUGCUCAUUUUUAGUGCACGAAAUGUAUCUUCACGGCAUCCAGAUGAGACUGUACACUUUUUCUGAGCUUUAACCAUCAAAACCGGUGUUAAAAAAAUGUUGCCGGGCUCUCGCCGUCCCAUCCUGCCAAGUGCUGUGCACCUCCUAGAGGCACUCGGAAUUGCUCUUAUUUAAUUAGGUCUUAUUUACUUAUUACAUUCCGGUAACACAUGGGUAGCAACACGCUCUGCAGCGGGAAAAAGCCGCGGUCGGCGCCUGGGGAGCUGCCCACCGGAUCCUCGGCCCUGCGGCCGGGGCAGCAGCGGAGCUAGAGCCCGUAGCCACCCCUCAGCAUUCCGAAGCAGCUCUUCGCUUUGCCUGGGGGUGUCCGGAUCUCAGCUGGCUUCGUGUGGAAAGCAGGAGCGGAUAAAGGACGGUUUCGGUGGGAGAAGGAGCAGUCGGACACCGCUCCCACGCAGCAGCCGGCUCUCUCUCGGCUGUCUCUGCCACCCAUCUGGGUUCCCAAACGGCUUGCAUUCGCACAGGCACACAAAAAGGGUUUCCCUGCAUCAACCUGCAUGUCCCUGACUUUCUGCGCUUGGGCGUUUGCUCGCUUCUUCAGCCUGGGAGAGCACGAUCCCAGCCAGUCUCACCUUCGCAAUUGCCAAAGGGCUCCAAUAGGGAUGAGGCAGAAAGGGUUUCCCCUUUUCGCCGGGGCGACCCCCGCUGCUACCCCUUCCCAGGGCGGCCGUGGGGACCCUCGGGACCCCCCAGGGCCCUGGACUUGAGGCCAAAUUUGACAGGCGCCCGCCGCCGUUGUUUCAGGGCGGGCUGAAGCCCGCGGAUCGGAGUUUGGGGUCCGCACCUCGCUGGGCUUGUUUCCAAAGGGAAAAAGUUUCCCGUGGCUUCCCCUCCGCCGAAAUUCCCGCAGAAGCUCAGAAAUAAGGGAGGGGGAGGUUCCCCUCGCAGCCCCCUCUGCCGCCCCGCGGAUUGAUGAUGCUCCGUAAUGCUCCGCCAGCACCACAGGGAAGGGGGAUCCGUCCUAAACGUGGCUGCUGUUUCCAUUUUCUAUGCCUGAUAGAUUGCAAGGGAAAAAAAAAUAACGAUCAAUCCAAAUGAAAGUGAUAUUUAUGGUAUUUUAAAUCCAAUCGCCUCUGCAUCUGUUUCACGGAAAAUACAGCCGCGAUUGGUAAAACAUAAAUCCACAGACCUUACUUCAACCUAUGUGUUAAAUCGUGGAAUUUGGAAGAAAAAAAAAAAAAAAGAAAAAAAAAAGAGGGAAUUGUGUUUAAUUUGGCGAGUCUCUUCUGUUUAUUUUUGUUUAGCGCUGCAUAGUAUUACAUGCAACUUUUGGCCCUGGGAGGGAUGAAGGGCGGGAAGCCCUGAACUGAUGUAAAACAGAAGAAAUGCAGGCUACUUAAUGUCUGACUGGUCCAGCGAGCUGGAGAUGGUGCCAUGUCCUGCUUUUUACUAGAAAGAAGUCUGGCGUGAAAGCAGGAUCUUUGUUGCCUAGGAAUUAAGUUGUAGCUGCUGCUUAUUCCUUACCUGAACUCCUAAUCCCCUGUUUGUGCUACAGCACAAAACAAAUUAUUUCUCGUAGACCAAAGAGCUCCCUUGUAACAAUUAAAGUCUAUUGUGUAAAAGCAUAAAUGGCGCAUUGAUCGUUAAGGUAAAAUGACUUGUAAAAGGUAAUUCUUGAAGUAUGUGGUCAUUUAAUCUAUACUUUGGAGGAGUCAUUAUGCACAGGGAAGUAAACUACAAA
rnacentral:lncRNA from 1 species